CGCGAUUCGCCCUUCGGGGUGCAGCAGGCGCGAAAACUUUACCAUGCUGGCAACAGCGAUAAGGGGACCUUGAGUGCCAGGAUACAAUCCUGGCUGUCGUGAUGCCUAAAAAGCAUUAUAUAGCAAGGGCCGGGCAAGACCGGUGCCAGCCGCCGCGGUAACACCGGCGGCUCGAGUGGUAACCGCUAUUAUUGGGUCUAAAGGGUCUGUAGCCGGCUUGGUUAGUCUCUUGGGAAAUCCGGCAGCUUAACUGUCGGGCUUUCAGGAGAUACUGCCAGGCUCGAGACCGGGAGAGGUGAGAGGUACUUCAUGGGUAGGGGUGAAAUCUUGUAAUCCUUGAAGGACCACCAGUGGCGAAGGCGUCUCACCAGAACGGAUCUGACGGCAAGGGACGAAAGCUAGGGGCACGAACCGGAUUAGAUACCCGGGUAGUCCUAGCCGUAAACGAUACUCGCUAGGUGUCGGCCACGGUGCGACCGUGGUCGGUGCCGUAGGGAAGCCGUGAAGCGAGCCACCUGGGAAGUACGGCCGCAAGGCUGAAACUUAAAGGAAUUGGCGGGGGAGCAC
rnacentral:rRNA from 1 species